UGGGGAAUAUUGGUCAAUGGGGGAAACCCUGAACCAGCAACGCCGCGUGAAGGAAGAAGGCUUUCGGGUUGUAAACUUCUUUUAUCAGGGACGAAAGUGACGGUACCUGAUGAAUAAGCUCCGGCUAACUACGUGCCAGCAGCCGCGGUAAUACGUAGGGAGCGAGCGUUAUCCGGAUUUACUGGGUGUAAAGGGCGCGUAGGCGGGCCGACAAGUCAGAUGUGAAAACUAUGGGCUUAACCCAUAGCCUGCAUUUGAAACUGCCGGUCUUGAGUAUCGGAGAGGCAAUCGGAAUUCCGUGUGUAGCGGUGAAAUGCGUAGAUAUACGGAAGAACACCAGUGGCGAAGGCGGAUUGCUGGACGACAACUGACGCUGAGGCGCGAGAGCGUGGGGAGCAAA
rnacentral:rRNA from 1 species